CAGAUACUAUGAAAUAUGACCAGGCAGAUUUGAAAAAGAGCCAAGUAAAACAUUUAUAAAUGAAAAAUAUAGUUGUUGACAUUAAAAACUCAAUGACCAAAUUAAACAGUAUAUAAGAAACAACUGAAAAGAGAAUUAUUUAACUAAUAUAUCUGAAGAAAUUACCUGGAAUAUAACACAAAGAGACAGGAAGAUAGAACAUCAAAGAGGGGUCAAGACAUAGAGGAUAGAAUAAGAUUUAAUAUAAUAGGAGUGGCAGAAAAGACUAGAGAAAAUAGAUGAAAAACCAAUAUUAAAAAAGAUAAUAAAAGAGAAUUUCCAGAACUGAUAAGAGAUGAGUUCCCAGAUAUAGAAAGUUAAACUACCCUUGCAAAAAUUACAACAGUGAGAAAGUUAUGACAGUGAAAGAGAUCUGACCUAACUGACUCCAUCCUGCGUUUAACCUCCAACCUGCCCCUCUUCCUUCCUGGGCAUAGGCUGAACUAACUUUGGGAGGAAUUUAGUUUAUAGUUUGAAACAAAGACGAUAACAGCCCCUCCCUGAAACAAACCUCCUCCUUGUGUGGGGACCAAACUGCCUCUGUAAAACUAACAGAUUAACCACAAGAUUAGAAAUUAUGGCUUAGGAGUUAUACAGCCAGAGGGCACCAGAUUCCUAACCUUCUAAUUGCUUUUGUGAAUAACAUCUAAGAUUGGUGUUUGGAAUAUUUUUCAGACUCUGCACUCUGAUGGAUCCAGUGGCGCCACCCAGACCAGUAAACUGGCUCCUCUGGUCUUGUGGCCACCAUCCAGGAGCUGACUCAGAGCAAGAGGACAGCCUGGACUCCCUGUGAUUUCAUCCUCAACCCAACCAAUCAGCACUCCCCAUUCCCUAGCCCCCUGCCUGCAAGACUGUGUUUCAGGGAGGCUAAUAGUAAAAAGAAUAGAAAAUAACCAAAUGUCAAGACUGCAACUGGGGUGGAGCCAAGCUGCUGCGGAUGUUGCCAAGGGCCCUUCCCGGGAGAGCCAGGAGGACAGGCCAUGCACUAAAAAACAGCUGCAGAGGAAAGGCUGGACCAGGUGUGCUGGGAGUCACCAGGAGCAAGGUGGUGAAGUGAAGAAACUGAGAUAGGAGAAGGGAUGGUGCCUGAGUCUGCGGCAGACCCUGAACUGGGCCACAUCUCCCAACUUGAGAUUGAAGUCGCUUUGAAAGCAGAGCACAUGAAUCCGGGCAACGUGACUUAAGAGCUGGCUGAUGUUCCAGGACAGCACAAAAGAACGGAACUUGUUUUCAUGCUAUGAGUGCGCAAACCAAUGGGCAGUUUUUGGGGUUACUCGUGAUUGCUCCUCGGUCCAGAGUUCAGGCAGCAAUCUGAGCCACUCAACUGCUCUUCUUUACCCCUCUACCUCUGCAGUUCAUUGGGGGACAGAGCUGGGCCAGGAUCCUGGGACAGAAGGAGGAGGCGGGCCCAGGAAAGUCCACUUGGGGUAACACACAAUUUGUACAUAAAAAAGAAAUGUUCACCUCUUUGUAUGUACCGUAGUAAUUAUUUCACCUUCUUUUAUGAACUUGCACAUUUUCAGAGAGAGUUAAAUUAAGCAGAGUCUGAAAGUGGAGAAUUCUCACAUAGAUAAAAGAAUGGGGACCUGAAAUUGGGUCAUCAGGAAGUGUCUUGUGGCAAAAUACACUUAGUAUCGAACUGAAGGAAGAAAUAUUUCAAACAUUUUCUUUAAGGAAAACUUAAUGGAUGUGACUUAAUAUUGUCUAGACUGACCUAGCAGCACAAGGUGGUGCGUUCAAGGACUUUUCAUCUCAAUCCACAGGAAAAGGGUUCGAUUUAGAUGAGAAAGAGGGAGCGGGGCACAGCUAGACUGGAGAGGCAUCCUGUCCACGGAUUAGUCUUCACUCUUCAUGUGGGCAGUAGAAUGGUAAACGGGACCUUCUUAAAACAGCAGCUCCCAAACACUGGGAGGUUGAUGUGCUUCCUAAACCCUCACUGAUUCAUGAUGUUCGGCACAGUGUGGGGCCUCCCGAAAACGGUGCUGAUCAUAUGGAGUUUGUGGAACAUCUCCUAUGUGUACUACCGGGACUCUACUAUCCUCCGUGAUCACAAUUUCACUGGGGGCCAGUCGCCUAGAAGAUCUCACGGGGUGUCCAAUCUUUUGGCUUCCCUGGGCCACAUUGGAAGAAGACGAAUUGUCUUGCACCACAUAUAAAAUACACUAACACUAACGAUAGCUGAUGAGCUAAAAAAGAAAAUUGCAAAAAUAUCUCAAUGCUUUAAGAAAGUUUACAAAUUUGUGUUGGGCUGCAUUCAAAGCCAUCUUAGGCCACAUGUGGCCCGUGGGCCAUGGGUUGGACAAGCUUGAAGAUAGCCAUGAGACUACUGAUGACAAGAAUAAAGGUGGUUUAUUGAAUCCGUACUGUGUACUAGACUCUUCACAUGCAGAGCCUCAUUUAAUGCUCGUAACAAUCUCUUGAGGCUGAGACAAGCAUAUCCCCCAUCUUACAGAGGAAGAAGCCCACUCAGAGAAGCUAAGGAACUAACCCAAGAUCACACAACUAGAGUAGGGAUUCAAACCCAGACAAUGUGGAACCACAGACCACAACUUACCCACCAGCUGUUGUAAGUACACAGGGAAACCAGAGCAGGAGGGCAGAAAAAAGGAGGAGAUAUAUGGGGGUUAUAAGCAAGGUGUGGGUUAUAUGGAAGGUCAGUUGACAUCUUCUAUGAAUCCCCUGAAACCAGGAUGAAGAAUUUCAGACCAAAAGACUAUAGAGAGAGAAAAAAACUCCUGCUCCAAAUGAGAGAAGAGAAAGAGUGUUGACGGUAAAAUAUCAGUGAGACGCUGUGAUUUGUGCCUUUUGUCUUUUUCUAUCUGGCUCCCCUAGCAACAGUUAAGUAGUAAUGAAUGUAAAUGCUCAGUAACACGCCGGCGAGACUGUUCCACCAGGCGCAGCAUCCCUGGUAAACAGAAAUGCAUGCUAAUUUCUGCUCCGUGAAGCAUAGGAAACAUCACUAGGGGCUGCCCAGUGGAAAGGAACAAAAAGCAGAUGGAAAAAAUGUUUAAAUCUCAAGUUUAUGUGAGAACAGAAAAGAAGGAACAUGUUGUAAAUUAUUUUUUGAAAUAUUAAGCUACUAACAAAAUCCUAACACCAAGACAGACAACAGGGGUGGUAAAAGGGGAAGGAGAGACGGAGUCACAAUGGAGACGGUUUUGCUACAGCACAUCAUUAACCGCCACGUUUUUCUGCAGUAUCUGAAAAUAUCAGUCUUGGAAAUACCUAUGCAUUAUUUUUUCAGAGGCCAGCCCCUGCGCUGUGGUUGUUUCACCAGUAAUACUAUCCUGUGAGGCCUCUCAAGAAACAGCCACCUUUCUGUU
rnacentral:lncRNA from 10 species